UACGAGGGGGGCGAGCGUUGUUCGGAAUUAUUGGGCGUAAAGGGUGCGUAGGCGGUUCCGCAAGUCCUGUGUGAAAUCUUCGGGCUCAACUCGAAGUCUGCACGGGAAACUGCGGGGCUUGAGUGUGGGAGAGGUGAGUGGAAUUCCCGGUGUAGCGGUGAAAUGCGCAGAUAUCAGGAAGAACACCCGUGGCGAAGGCGGCUCUCUGGAACGCAACUGACGCUGAGACGCGAAAGCGUGGGGAGCAAACAGG
rnacentral:rRNA from 1 species